AUUGAACGCUGGCGGCAUGCCUUACACAUGCAAGUCGAACGGCAGCGCGGGAGCAAUCCUGGCGGCGAGUGGCGAACGGGUGAGUAAUACAUCGGAACGUGCCCAAUCGUGGGGGAUAACGCAGCGAAAGCUGUGCUAAUACCGCAUACGAUCUACGGAUGAAAGCAGGGGAUCGCAAGACCUUGCGCGAAUGGAGCGGCCGAUGGCAGAUUAGGUAGUUGGUGAGGUAAAGGCUCACCAAGCCUUCGAUCUGUAGCUGGUCUGAGAGGACGACCAGCCACACUGGGACUGAGACACGGCCCAGACUCCUACGGGAGGCAGCAGUGGGGAAUUUUGGACAAUGGGCGAAAGCCUGAUCCAGCCAUGCCGCGUGCAGGAUGAAGGCCUUCGGGUUGUAAACUGCUUUUGUACGGAACGAAACGGUCUUUUCUAAUAAAGAAGGCUAAUGACGGUACCGCAAGAAUAAGCACCGGCUAACUACGUG
rnacentral:rRNA from 1 species